rnacentral:rRNA from 1 species
UACAGAGGUCUCAACCGUUGUUCGGAUUCAUUGGGCGUAAAGGGUGCGCAGGCGGCCGAGCAAGUCGAGUGUGAAAGCCCCGAGCUUAACUUGGGAACUGCGCUCGAAACUACUUGGCUAGAGUGUGGCAGAGGGAGGUGGAAUUCCACGUGUAGCGGUGAAAUGCGUAGAGAUGUGGAGGAACACCGAUGGCGAAGGCAGCCUCCUGGGCCAACACUGACGCUCAUGCACGAAAGCGUGGGGAGCAAACAGG